rnacentral:rRNA from 1 species
AUUCCCCUAGUAACGGCGAGUGAAGCGGGAAAAGCUCAAAUUUGAAAUCUGGCGGUCUACGGCCGUCCGAGUUGUAGUCUAGAGAGGUGUCUUCUGCGUCGGACCAUGCACAAGUCCCUUGGAACAGGGCGUCAUAGAGGGUGAGAAUCCCGUCCGUGGCAUGGACUCCCGGUGCUUUGUGAUGCGCCUUCGAAGAGUCGAGUUGUUUGGGAAUGCAGCUCAAAAUGGGUGGUAAAUUCCAUCUAAAGCUAAAUACAGGCGAGAGACCGAUAGCGAACAAGUACCGUGAGGGAAAGAUGAAAAGCACUUUGGAAAGAGAGUUAAACAGUACGUGAAAUUGUUGAAAGGGAAACGCUUGGAGUCAGUCGCGUUUGCCGGGACUCAGCCUUGCUUCUGCUUGGUGCACUUCCUGGUACACGGGCCAGCAUCGAUUUUGAUCGCCGGAAAAAGGCUUGGGGAAGGUGGCACCUUCGGGUGUGUUAUAGCCCCUUGUUGUAUACGGUGGUUGGGAUUGAGGACCGCAGCACGCCUUUUGGUCGGGGUUCGCCCACGCCACGUGCUUAGGAUGCUGGCGUAAUGGCUUUAAACGACCCGUCUUGAAACACGGACCAAGGAGUCUAACAUGCCUGCGAGUGUUUGGGUGUAAAACCCAGGCGCGUAAUGAAAGUGAAAGGUUGGGACUCUUCGCUGAGGCACCGACGCCCGAUCCUGACGUUCUCUGACGGAUUUGAGGUAGAGCAUGUAUGUUGGGACCCGAAAGAUGGUGAACUAUGCCUGAAUAGGGCGAAGCCAGAGGAAACUCUGGUGGAGGCUCGUAGCGAUUCUGACGUGCAAAUCGAUCGUCAAAUUUGGGUAUAGGGGCGAAAGACUAAUCGAACCAUCUAGUAGCUGGGUUCCUGCCGAA